rnacentral:lncRNA from 1 species
UUAACCAAAGAGAUUAAAGACUUAUACAUUAAAAACCACAAGGCAUUGUUUAAAGAAAUUAAAGAAGAUAAAAAUAAAGACAUGACAUGCUUAUGAAUUAGAAGACAACAUUAUGGUCACACAACAAUAUGAAUGUACUUAACACUCCUAAACUGUAUAUUUAGAUAUAGCUAAAAUUGUAAAUUUUAUGUAUUUAUUACCACUAUUACAUUUUUUAAAAAUUAAUAUAAACAGGGUGCUGAGCCAGGAUCUGUGCCUAACUCAAGCAGGGGAGGAGUCUACACUCAGGAAACAGAGGGAUGGGUCACACGGGUUUGUUGGCUGCUG